CACGUAGGGCGCGAGCGUUGUCCGGAAUUAUUGGGCGUAAAGAGCUCGUAGGCGGCCUGUUGCGUCCGCUGUGAAAACCCGAGGCUCAACCUCGGGCCUGCAGUGGGUACGGGCAGACUAGAGUGCGGUAGGGGAGAUUGGAAUUCCUGGUGUAGCGGUGGAAUGCGCAGAUAUCAGGAGGAACACCGAUGGCGAAGGCAGAUCUCUGGGCCGUAACUGACGCUGAGGAGCGAAAGCAUGGGGAGCGAACAGG
rnacentral:rRNA from 1 species